GACGGAGGAUGCAAGUGUUAUCCGGAAUCACUGGGCGUAAAGCGUCUGUAGGUGGUUUAAAAAGUCCACUGUUAAAGAUUGAAGCUUAACUUCAAAAAUGCCGUGGAAACUUUUAAACUUGAGUAUGAUAGGGGUAGAGGGAAUUUCCAGUGGAGCGGUGAAAUGCGUAGAUAUUGGGAAGAACACCGGUGGCGAAGGCGGCUCACUGGCUCAUAUCUGACGCUCAGGCGCGACAGCGUGGGGAUCAAACAGG
rnacentral:rRNA from 1 species